rnacentral:lncRNA from 1 species
UGGAGCUAAAUUCAGCUGAAUUUGAAGCUCAAGGGACGAUUUCUAGAAGAGCAAAUGCACUUGGAGAAAUGGCAGCAGCUAGGUUCAGCCAAUUGAGCUUAAAUGAGCUCAUUAAAAUGUAAUUCUUGGCUGAAAAGAGACCAGCAUUAAAGGUGAACGUGAACAGCCUUGAAGGUGUGAAAAAGGAGUUGGAAAAGUCUUUGGAAGUGUGAACAAUGAUCAGCCAAAUGGUCCUUGGUGUGAACUCCAAAUGUGAACGCAUAGGUGCUAUUUUGGGAAGUGUAUCGGCCAGCUUUUGGAGAAUGAAUUUAGUUGCUCUUCUUGGCUGAAUUAACACCUUGAAUUAUCAUAAAAUGAGCCAUAUCCAUGAAUCCAACCAUUCAUGUAUUCAGCCAUUCAUGUAUAGUCCCAUACGUUGUAUUGAACCAUUCAUGCACUUGGACUUUAAUGCUCCUUCAUGCAUUCAGCCAUCCUACAAGAAAAAAAACAUGAACUAAAUUAAGUGCAAAUGUAUAUUCGGCUGAACUAAAUGGUAUUAAGACAAAUUAAAUAUAAUCCAGCCACCUAAUUAAAUUGGCUAACACAACAUAAUUAUAACAUGUAAUAAGCUGACAAGUAAUUAAGAGCUGUAACUAAAUUAACUAAUUAACUUAAAUAAUUAAUUUAUUCCAGCAAAUAAAAUUAAUUUAGCUAAAGAGCUAAUAAUGAGCUGAAUUGAAUUUAAACCAAGCUCAAACGAGCUGAAUUAAGCUCAUGUGAGCUAAAAUAAAAUUCGGUGAGCUGAACCAAGCUAAAUGGAGCUUGAGGAGCUGAAUUCAAGCUGAAAUCAAGGGCAUCCUUGGCCAGGGUCGUAUCAUUCCCCCCUUCUUUAGAACGACUUGUCCUCAAGUCGAGCCGUUGGUUCACUCGAUCAUAGCUCCGCUUACUCAUCUUUCCUCGAUCAAACAGAAUCGAACACUAAUAAAAUAAACCACCAAACUAUUUUGUUACAUCUUCACCAUACAAAGUCUCAUCAAACGAAGGAAUUAUUUAAAUGAGUAAUCACAAAUCAUCAAGAAUUCAUUUGAGCAAAUAUGUGGCCCAAGUACCAUUUGGGUAGAACAUUCAUAAUCCUUGCAAGAAGGUAUUUUCCAAAUUUCAUACCCACAAUUGAUUGAACAAAGCUUUUUGCAAGUUAUGAUUUUACCACUUAAUCGGCUUAAAUCUUGCAUAGUUAAGCUUAACAGUGGCCAUUGAUCUUUCACCUUUUAAACAAACUUGUCAUCAAGGAGAAUCUUACCAAAAAUUUUCAAGAGACAUGUGGACACAUUCAACUUAAUCCGUUCAUCGAUCAAGCAGAUAAACUCCUCACCACAACUUAUUGAACACAAAUUUUUAUCACAAACAGAUGAAUGCACAGUAAAACCUUGCAAUGGAAAUUGAACGAUUGGUUCUUCCAAAAUCGCAUCAUCAGCAUCAAUACAAACAGAUGAUUCAUUUUUAAAUAAAGCUGAACAGUUAAACACAUCACAAUUUAAAUUCCUUGCAACAACCAAUUCUUCAACAAAAAUUUUAUUACCAACCGAAUAGGGCAGAGAAAUUUUAAAGUUAUCGUAAGUCAUAUCUUGUUUACCUCGAGGGAUGGAAAAGCAAGGAUCAUUUUUACCUUUGUCGAUCAUCAUAAAUCUUCUCUCCUCGGAAAUGUAGUCUAGUCGAAUCUCUGUGGCUGAAUUAACCUUAACGAAAUGAAAUACGAAUUUCAAAUACAACCACAAAAAUGGAUUAAGGAAUGAAUUUAAAUUGAAAUCAAAUUUUUCAUACCUCAGUUCCUUAUUCAACACCCAAUUAUCAAAACAAUAGAAAUUGUUCACACAAAAUUGAUGAAGCUUGACUUUCCCAUAAAACGAACCAAAAUAGAUUCCGGGUUUAAAAACUUGAUUUUGAGUAUUCAUGCCAAAAUGUAGCAAAAAUUUCAUUAAACCAAACACGUUAAACCAAUGGGAUUUUUGCAUACAAAGGGACAAACAAUUAAAACUUUUUACAUUCAUCAAUUCAUACUUGUACAAAUUCAUGGAUUUUCCACAAAGCGUUAAUUGGUGCACAAAAUUGUCACAAAUGAAAAAUUUAAUCGCCUUUCGUGAAAAACCGUCAUCACGCAAAAUUAAAUCUUUGGUUUGUUGAUUGGAACAAAAAUCAACCACAUUCAGGGAGUAGCAAUUAAUCAGACCAAAAUAAGGAGAGCGUUUAGAAAUUAAGUCACUAAAAAGUAUUUCAACAAUUUUCAAACCUGGUGGUCGUGACUCGAUCGUUAACAUUUCCUCACCUCUCUUACCUUUGAACUCUUGGGGCACGUUUUCAUCUUCAACCUUACCUAUACUGACCAUAUGAAAAUGUCUUUCAUCGGAAAGGUAGUGAAGUUGAAAAUUAUCGUUUGAUAUCUCGGGCACCUGGAAAGAAGAAACAGAACAAGAACAAGUUUCAUAUGGAUUAGUCGAAAUGCUCCUCACUUUUUCUGGUUCGUUUAUCUCUUUUUCUCUUGUUUCUUUUCUAAUCUCAACUUCUUUUUUUCUCUUUUCAUUUCCUCUCUCAUUUUCAAUUUUAUUUUCGACCUCACUCUCUUUUUGGAUUUCUUUUUCUUUUUCAAUCUUUUCUUCUUUUCUUUCGAUUUCUCUUUCUCGCUUGCACUCUUGUUCAAUCUUAAUUUCUUUUUUGAAUUCUUUCUCUUCAUUUUCUUUUUCUCUCACUUUUUUGAUUUCUUGUUCCUUUUCUUUCAUUUCUUUUUUUCGUCUCUCGAUUUCAUUCCAUAUAUGCUCAUUUUCUCUCAUCAACAUUUCUUGUCUUUCUUUUCUUCUUAUUUCUUUUUCUUUUUGCCUCGCUCUUUCAUUAUAGGAUGGAGAUGUUGCAAAAGAAUCAGCACAAAAUGACUCUUGUUGGGUAUAAUUAGAAUGACUUUCAUACAAAAAAUGAUCACCUCUUCGAGAUUGAUUCUUGGCGGACGAAUACCUUGGUGCAUAUGAAGGACUACUUGUGAUUCCUCGUUCGUCACCUUGAAAAGCUUCAAACUCAAAACUUGCUUUGCUUCGUCUUGAGUUCCUCGUUGAAUAGAAAUCCCGAUAAGAAUCUCUUAGCGAAUAGUCUUUGGACGCGUAUUGCCGUGAUGAUCUCGACUCCGUUUCUCGACUUGGUGGAUUUUGUUUCCGUUGGGACUUUUCCUCCACUCGGUUCAAACGUCUUUUUAAUGGGCUUAGUUUUUCCUCCAAAAUUCGGCCCAUCUCGUUCACCAAGUAUUGAAAUUCAUCAGUAGAGAAUUCUUCUUGAGACAUGAUUUAAUUACUAAAAAAAAUGAUUAAAACAAAACAAAAAUUAAAUACCUCACCACAAAAAUCUCACGUUUCACUCACAAAGAAAAUUGGAUAACACUCCACUCGUGUUUACACUUGUUUAAUGGCUUUUGCUCGCUCUAAUGUACUCACCACUCGUGCCUUUUUCCGCUCGUCUCACUCUCGUGAAUUCGUAUUUUGUUUCAAGAAGACUUAUUGCGGCUUAGAGGGUCGGCUUCAAAUGGGUUACAAGGGAUAACAUCGGGUGUAGGGUAGGCUAAACAAAGAAAAUAAAAAUCAAAGUAUGUGUGGCGUUUUGGGGGGGUAAAUAAUGGUAGGAAGGGAAACUUGAUGAUCGGAGUAAAUAAGAGAAGAAAAUAAAAACUCACAAGACUUUUCACUUUUUUUUUAAACUUGAUUUUUUUUGCUCACCUUUUUUUUUCUUUUCUUUUUUGAAUUUUUUUUUCAAUCAAUUUUUUUUUCGAAUUUUUUUUCUUUUUUUUUCUUCAAUACUAAAUACAAAAAGUAAAAAUAAAUUGAAUCCAAACUUUUUUUUUGAAUUUUUUUUUCAAGUUUUUUUUUAUUUUUUUUACAAUACCGUAAUACCGAUAACGUCGAUCUUACUCCGAUUCAGCUGGAUCUGAUACCAAAUGAUGUGAUCCGGCCCGGAUUAAUUGAGUCGUUUCACGUAAUUUCCCGAUCGUCGACGAGGAAUAGUUGAGUUAUCGAAAAUAGGAUGAAAUAAGGCUAAAGAUGCGGAAGCUUUCAAAUGGUUUUAAAGGUUGGCUAAGGUGAUGGUAAAUUUAUAAGGGUAGUAGGCUCGAUUUAAGGAUAAAAAUAAGAAAAAUGGAAGUUGAUAAAUGAAAGCUCAGUUUUGUAAAAAGAUAUUAUAGUUGGGUAAAAUCUAGGAUAGUCGGUGGAAUGGAUAAAUGAGCUUAAACGCCAGAAACGAUUCAACACUAAAAAGUGUCACCCCGAUUUCUAUUCGGUUCAAGGUGGGAUUGCGGAAUUGUAGAAGGUUGAACGCCACACCAAAGCAAGGUGAUAAGUUCAAAAGAGAACGAUAGACGCCACUAGCACGCUAGAUAAGUCAGAUCGAAACUCGUACGAAUUUAGAGAGGAGAAAACUCACUCUUUGAACAAAGUUCAUUCAAAUGAUCAAAAGUCAAAAGUCCUUUUACAAUGAAAAUGAACAACUAUUUAUAGUGUUCAGCUAGGUAGCCGAAUGGCCAAAACAAAGACUUAAUGUCUAAGUAAUUAAUUAGGCUAGAAAAAUGCUAGAAAAUUUUGGAAAUAAAAAACUAAAUUGCUGGAGCUAAAUUCAGCUGAAUUUGAAGCUCAAGGGACGAUUUCUAGAAGAGCAAAUGCACUUGGAGAAAUGGCAGCAGCUAGGUUCAGCCAAUUGAGCUUAAAUGAGCUCAUUAAAAUGUAAUUCUUGGCUGAAAAGAGACCAGCAUUAAAGGUGAACGUGAACAGCCUUGAAGGAGUGAAAAAGGAGUUGGAAAAGUCUUUGGAAGUGUGAACAAUGAUCAGCCAAAUGGUCCUUGGUGUGAACUCCAAAUGUGAACGCAUAGGUGCUGUUUUGGGAAGUGCAUCGGCCAGCUUUUGGAGAAUGAAUUUAGUUGCUCUUCAUGGCUGAAUUAACACCUUGAAUUAUCAUAAAAUGAGCCAUAUCCAUGAAUCCAACCAUUCAUGUAUUCAGCCAUUCAUGUAUAGUCCCAUACGUUGUAUUGAACCAUUCAUGCACUUGGACUUUAAUGCUCCUUCAUGCAUUCAGCCAUCCUACAAGAAAAAAAACAUGAACUAAAUUAAGUGCAAAUGUAUAUUCGGCUGAACUAAAUGGUAUUAAGACAAAUUAAAUAUAAUCCAGCCACCUAAUUAAAUUCGGCUAACACAACAUAAUUAUAACAUGUAAUAAGCUGACAAGUAAUUAAGAGCUGUAACUAAAUUAACUAAUUAACUUAAAUAAUUAAUUUAUUCCAGCAAAUAAAAUUAAUUUAGCUAAAGAGCUAAUAAUGAGCUGAAUUGAAUUUAAACCAAGCUCAAACGAGCUGAAUUAAGCUCAUGUGAGCUAAAAUAAAAUUUGGUGAGCUGAACCAAGCUAAAUGGAGCUUGAGGAGCUGAAUUCAAGCUGAAAUCAAGGGCAUCCUUGGCCAGGGUCGUAUCAAUUCUCUUCAUUAAAUCAGCCUUGAGAAUCCUAAUGUUCAGCAGCAGCAUUAGUGAUGUUUUGGCACACAAAACAGCUUCUUUGGGUAGUGUAAAGUUCAGCCUUGAAGAGAGGAAACGCCAAGCAUGUUGUUGGCCGAAUGGCUACUUGAAAAUACCAACCAGCAGCCCUUUGAUGUUCACGAAAAUAGCACUUUUAAUGCUUCAUGUAUUCUCUUUUCAGCAGCUAAUUAAUGGACUUCCCUUGCAUGCUGGACAACUCCUUU